AUUCUUUUAGGGUUUUCACUUUGGCGUUUCUAUCAUCUGAUUUCUUAUUCUAUAUAUGUGUAGAUCAGAGAUGGUUUGAAGAAUGGUGAAGAAGACGACUCAGACUGCUUAAGGUUUUGUUUGUUGUUUCAGGGAUAUUUAUUUUUAAACAAUGGCAAGGGAGGGCUAAGUUACCAUCCUGCAAUACAGGGAGACAUCUUCAAUUGCUUUAAGUAAUGAAGUAUCAGAGAUGGUUUGAAGAAUUAUUAAGAAGGCGACUCAGACUGCUCAAGGAAUUUCAUCAUCCUUAAACUAUGGCAAGGGAGGGCUAAGUAACCAGCCUGCAUUACAGCGGGACAUCUUCUAUUGCUUUAACUAAUGAAGUGUCUAACUAAGCAGAACAGAAAGAUAUGGUUUGAAGAAUGAACGCAGUUUCAUAAGAAAAACUUGGCCGAGGGGCGUGCUCUCUCACGGAUCUGAAGCGGAGAGAGGAUGCUGCUGCACAAGGAUCUAAAGCGGAAAGAGGAUGCUGCUGCCUAAGAUCAGUUUGAAUAACGAUGAAGAAGAAGAAGACUCACACUGCUUAAGGUUUUGUUUCUGUCAUCAACACCACAAUCCAUCAGAGAUGGUUUGAAGAAUGGUGAAGAAGACGACUCAGACUGCUUAAGGUUUUGUUUGUUGUUUCAGGGUUCACUUUCUUCCCUUUAACGAUGAUGAAGAAGACUCUGACUGCUUGAGGUGGUUUCGCUUCAUCAAAUCCUUUUUAAGUCUAAUUCAUGUUCUUCUUCUCUAGGUUUUUGGAUGAUGCUUUUAUGGAUGAGAGUGAUGGCUUAAGGACACGCUUCGCUUCUUCUCGGUGAUAACGUCUUCAAGGGUGUUAUGGAAGCGAAUUAUGAUAUGAUCGGAUCAGUGCAUAUUCUUCUCUCACGGUUUCCUUCUCUAAACACACAUCUAUAUAUUGGCUUCUAAUAACAUAUUACUUACUUGUCGAUUGGUUUUUGUUUUGUUGGUUCACAUUUGUGGAGGAGGAUCCUACCAUCGUCACUCUAAUUCAGUUUAUUCUUCUUCUAGAGUUUUGUUUCUGAAUUGAAUCAUUGAAGGCUUUUUUAUUAUGUUUAUGCGACUUUUUACCUUUUGCUCUGUUAUUUCAGGUUGUGGAGGAUCGGUCGGUGAUGCUUUUGAUGGAUCCUUUUUGUUUACUGUGCCAUACAUCUUCAGGACCAGAUAAUUCAUAUGAGAGAUGAUCACAAAUUCUUCACUAGACGAGUUUGUUCUUGAACUGUGUUCUUUUUUAACUAGCAAAAGGCUGGACAUGUGAAAGAUAUUCAGUUUUGGAAUUUGGAUGAUGCUUUUAUCGUGAUGGCUUUGAUGUGUUUCGGAAGCAAAUUAUGAUCGGAUCGGUGCAUAUCUU